UGAGCUUAGUGUUUUGGAACUCAGAAGGUGAAUUCUUGGUCCACCUUCAAUGGCUGGACAUUGGUUGGCAGUACCAGUUCCCUUUACAUCCAAAUAUGUCUUGCUCUGAAUUCCAUCAUAGGUUAGCCUCUUUGGGACUCCUUCAGCACCUGCUCCCUGAAAAAAUAUUGAUCAUGAACAGGGCUCUGAUGUUGGAUUAUUUCAUGAUUGAACAGUGUAUGCUAAUAAACUAAUAUCACACAUACUCCUAGGAUAUAAGAAAGUAAUGGGAAUUAAAUUGAUAAUGAUAACCAAAAUGAAAGUGAUCAUGCUCAUUAAUUAUUGAAGCAGAUGAAUUUAGAGAAUUAAUGGCUAAAACACACCGAGACCACAAGAGCAGAAGUAGCAAGAGCA
rnacentral:misc_RNA from 1 species